rnacentral:lncRNA from 1 species
CUAUUCGUGGAGGAAGUGCGGGGCCAUGUGGAACAGGGCUGGAUUUACUGUCUGGAGUGCACUGGCAGCCCUUAACAGUUUUCACAAAAUGUAAACUAGAAGUAAUAAUCCCUGCUUCCCAAGGAUGACAGAGAAUAGAAAUGAGUUCGGUUCCUUAAAGGCGCUUGCAUUCAGAAGCUGACAUACGCAAAAGAAAGGAAACCGGAAAGGCCCAGAGUGCUGAUGGAGUAAGUGAAGGCAGAGCCUUGAGGAAAUUUUUUUCUCGGCUCUUCAUCAUGAAGACCUCGGGAGAUUUCUGGAGGUAAAACCUGUGGAAAUAUGGAGGCACCUCUAAGACUGUUGUCCCCAGGAGUUUCUCAUUCUCACACUAGAUGACACUCAGCCUCCAUCAGCUCACCAAAAUUACCAUUUAGUUGCUUCUAUCAGUUGUGGCUGCACAGGUUUGUGCUCCAGGACACAAUUGGAAAUAUUGAUUAUAUUACCAAAGCUUUGACUGGAAUGUCAUAUUUGAGAGAAACAUACAGACUAAGAUAUGACAAGACAGUUUUUGAGAAAUAAAGGUUGACUUUAUGGAAUAAAGCCACCUGGAAAUAUUGGCCUGGUACCUUACUUAAAGGGUUGCCAGUAACCUUACCAG